GAUGAACGCUAGCUACAGGCUUAACACAUGCAAGUCGCGGGGCAGCAUGGGGGUUGCUUGCAAUCCCCGAUGGCGACCGGCGCACGGGUGAGUAACGCGUAUCCAACCUGCCCUUCACCACGGGAUAACCCGGCGAAAGUCGGACUAAUACCGUAUGUUGUCCAUUGACGGCAUCCGAUUUGGACGAAAGGUUUGGCGGUGAAGGAUGGGGAUGCGUCCGAUUAGCUGGACGGCGGGGUGACGGCCCACCGUGGCGACGAUCGGUAGGGGGUCUGAGCGGAAGGUCCCCCACACGGGAACUGAGACACGGUCCAGACUCCUACGGGAGGCAGCAGUGAGGAAUAUUGGUCAAUGGGCGUAAGCCUGAACCAGCCAAGUAGCGUGCAGGAUGACGGCCCUAUGGGUUGUAAACUGCUUUUAUGCGGGGAUAAAGUGGCCCACGUGUGGGUUUUUGCAGGUACCGCAUGAAUAAGGACCGGCUAAUUCCGUG
rnacentral:rRNA from 1 species